UUUAUAAAUUCUUUCUGAUAUGUAAGGUUAAUUGUCUAUUCACAAUUCAUGCUUAAUAUAUCAGUGUUACGUGGAAAUGCAAUUGCUACUUGCAUUGAAUUUUUUCUUGUUUGCGUUGUUAUGUUUCCUGCUGUCGAAAUGUGUACUGUGGGCAGACUAAAGAUGAGGAUGUCUACAAUAUGACUGACAAUGUUGGUUUCUAAUAGCAAAAAAGUCUGAAAAAAGCAGCUCAACAGAAUUCAUUCUGAGUGUUGUCCCGCUCCUCUCUAUCCUCCAGCUAUAAACAUGAGUCGUUCAGAUCUGCGAAAGAAGAGAAGGGGACGAAUCUAGGGGAAAAGUUUGGUGAAAAAGAAGAAUGAGGAUUUUGAGCCUGCUCCGCCGUUCCAUUUGGUUUAGCUUCCCAAAAUCAAAGGGACAGGUUCGAAUUUCACGAUCUAAUAAUUGCAUAAUUUAGUGCUCUUUUUUGGCUUUACUUGAGUGUUUUUGGCUGGAUAGUCCUUUUUGAUAGAUAAACAUACCAAUCCUAAUUCUGGACUGAAGCUUCAGGAUGUUUCUCUGCUUCCUAUUCAUAUGGGUAGAUUUUCUAUGUAGUUCCACCUUAAUAAUAGUUUGUAUGUUCCAAUAUAUAUUCCUGUUAGGUUCUUAGUUUUUAUGUUUAUACUACGAUGCUUUACUUAAUUACACCACAAUCAUGUACGGAACUAAAUAGUAUUUUGUUCCCCCUGCCCCCUCAAAUCAGGUUUGCAUAAAAAAUCGUUUUGUGUUCUUGAUCAAAUUAUUGCUACAUAUUACGAUAGCUAUGUGGUUUAAAAUAAAGAUACAAAAAUUACAUGCCCUUCCUUUAUUUACGUCUACGUUUCUAAAGCUUGACUAUAUAUGUUAGUCAAUACCUUAAACGACAUUGAAAUUUGUGUUACACUGUUAUGCUAUGUUGUUAGCAGUAAAAACAUCAGUGAGGUUUUAGAAAAAUUAUUUAGAAAUUUUACUGAUCAUAUGUUUACAAGCAUAUCCUAUAUAAUGGUUCUUCUCUAAUUUAAGUUUAAGCACUUCUAAUUCACUGCUUGGUGAACUGAAUUGAUCAAAGGAUGCAGAGUUAUCUUUUUUUCUUUAGGAACCCGCUAGCUAGAUUGGUUACUAUGCCUCUGGGAAGGUGAAAUAGUAAGGUUUUGAAUGAUUAUGACCCCACCUCUUAUCAUCCUAUUUCUUCUAGAUUAAUUAUUGUUUUUGAAUUUAUCUACAUGUGAGCAUAACAACUAUGCACUGUGCAUAGGGCUGUAUCAUCUUUUGUUACAUUGGAUAAAUCGUCUCGAAACAAAAUACAUUCAAUGAGUCUCUGUACUGUAGUGAGCUCAUCCAAUCUGCGAUCAGUGUCUUGAUCCAAGCUUCUCUAGCAUGAAUACUGCUCUAGGUCUUGUACAUAUACCAUAAUUUGCAGGCAGACAGUCAGACGGAAUAUAGCCCCAUUCAUCAUACAAUGUUGAUACUCAAUACACAAUAAGCUUGGAAAUAAUAAAUUGGGUAAGAAUGCUAAUCUUUUCGUUUUUCUUUAAAUUUGUUCUACUCAUUUCCUGUUGUAGGUUCAUGAAUCAUGAGUAUCAUAGGCAGGGCUGACUACAUCAUCUUUUGCCUUGUAUCAGGUCGUUUGGUCAUCUUUGUUCUUCACACAGAUAUGCACAGGCAGAGCACAACAGCAUUCCAAACCGAGGCUGCUCAGCAUGUUUUGGUGUCCAUCAGAUUCCUUCUUUUUUCAUGUUUACUGUUGGCAUUAGCAUUUGUUUCAAGUGAUGUUUAUUCUCGUAUUUGUAAAGCAUUGAUUCAUUCAGUUCAGUAGCACCCAGCCUGAUGUAAUGUUUCUGAUUCUUGUGAACUGUUGUGCACCUACCUACCUGAUGAAUUACUAAGAGGCGUUGGUGCCAAAACAGUUGGAAAAUUC